ACGAGUCCUAUAGUUGCUGUAGUCCAGAGGCCUGUCAGUUCCUGUUUUAACGCAUAUGUAGUCGUAAUUGAGUUCUAACACGGCCUUGGAUGUUUCUGUCCUAAAUAGCUGACAUUGCAUCUUCAAGACUGUGUGAGUAAUCCUGACUUUUUUUUUUUUUUUAACUCUGUAAAUUAAUUACAUGCCCUGAGAGGGAGUGAUUGUGAUUAGAAAAUACUGAAGUAGCAGAUGAUUCAUUUUCAAGGUGCUGUUCUCUAUGUAUCAAGUUCAAUGCAAUUAAUCGUAAAGCUUCUCAGACCUGGCAGGGUUAUUCCAGCUUUUGGCCAUGAAUCACAGUCAAGCUGCAUUUUCAAGGAGGCUGUUCACUGCAUUUGCCAGCCAGGUUUGUUUUGUGGGGUCAGGAAAGUGAUAAAGGUCCAAUAGGAGCAGGUUAAAACAGGCUGUUGGUGACAAAGCAACGGCUGAGAGCCCUUGAGUCAGGCAGGUUUCAAGAUUUCCCACCCCCCAGGGUCCACAGCUGGGAGGGCUCAGCUCAUGAUAGGCAGUCCUUUAGCGACCCAGGUGCACAGCAGUUAAGAGCACAGAAGGAGGAGAAAUGUGAAAUGACAGUAAUACUUUGCUGUACUGUCAUCUGAAGCUGAACUAAAUCAUAUUCUGGUUCUGUUGAUGUGGUAGCGAGCUGGAUGAGAAAUCCUUGGCUCGAUAUUUUAAAAAAGCCUUUCAAGAAGCAUGUUAAACACACACAGACAACAACCGUAACGGAAGAAAGUAUGUGGAUUGGAAUGUGUGGUUGGAGCGGAUCAAAUUAUCCCAGGGAAGCCGUUGUUAGGUUUGUGUAAUUGCUGGGGGUGACUUCUGUUGCUAACCAGGUUGAAGAGAAAGCUGGAGCAGAUUGAAACGAGAAACUAGGAAACAUCAGCGUUUUAUUACCUUCUAUAGCAUACACUGCAGGAUAGAAUUAAUACUGGGUAUAGAUUGGUGAGUGUAAGCAGUUCACUUUUUAUUUUUAAAACAUUAUCGAUUUCUCCUAGCUUAUUAUGAAAAUUGGGCUUUUGUCUAUGGAGUUAAUAUUGAGAAAUAAUUUUUCCUUCUCCCAAAUAACCUUUAUACUUUUUUUCUCAAUACAGCACAAAGCUAGGUAAUUUCUUUUUAUUUGGCGUUGUUUUCCAGUUUGCUUUUUGUCUAAUUUUUCCUCUUUACAUUUGCCGAUAUUAAUGUAUAUAUUUGUGCUGUGUAUAAUCUUAAGCAUAAAUCACUUGAAGAGUUUUAAAAAUCAUGGGUUUCUGUGGCAAAUAUAAACUUCUAAUAGCUAGAGUACUUGGCAAUUCCUGUAAAAAUGUUAUUUUUAUACCAAGAGCAGUUUCUAUUUGGUUGCACCUAUUUAAAGGACUGACAUGAUUUAAUCCGUAGGAAAAGACUAGUAGUUGUAUUUCUGUAAAAAUUUUAUGUUUUGGUCACACCGGACAUGCUGUUUCAUUGUUAAAAGAUUUUUGCCUUCUAAAAUAUGACCCCUUUUAGGUCAUACAAAUGGAUGAGGUUUGUAAAAGGAAAGAAAAAUAAUUACAUAGAAUCCUUUUCUCUAUCAGCCAAAUGUAUGUAAAAUAGUUUUAAAAAGUGUAAUUCCAAUAUAUGCUUUCAGAAAUGCAUUUACUUUAUGGAGAAACUUUUGUUUCUUUAUUGAGAUAGAAGAGCGAGUUCAUUUCUUGAGUUGUUAGAGCUGUGGACACUAAUAGCAGUAGUUGACAUUGCUCUACAUUCCUAACGGAAUGCAAGUGGAGGGAAGAGUGCAUCUCUUGAGGGACUAUAAUCUCACCCCUCAAGGAGGUGUGGCGCUCAGAUCAGCUGCGCAUCCAGUUCAGAAAGUGUUUAGAGCACGGCUCAGGGCAGUUCUAGUGAGAGUCUAGACACCGUGCCUUGGUGCUUCUUCCAGGACCUUCAUCUCUUCACUUCUUACUAAAAAGCUGCUAUCACAUCUCUUUUUCAUGAAAGGACAGGAUAUUAAAAAAAGAGUAGAGGGGAGCCAGGUGCCCAGUGGACAGGUGUCCAUGAGCCAGGUGUUGUGAAAAAGGGAAAUACUUCCCAAACAGCAGUAGCUCAUCUUUGUUCCCUCUACUUCUCUUUAUUUCCUAUCGCCAAUUUUGUCUAAGUGUAGACGUUCUUUUGCAGAUGAGGUUCUAUGAAACUAUGCAUAUCUGUCAUAGACAGAUGGAUUUGACAAAAGAUGUAUCCAAGAAGGAAUGUUCGUGAUGUAAUACUUGAGAAAUCUUCCUGAAUACAAAUUGGCUUUUGGAAACUAUUAGCACUACCUAGUAAAGCAAUGACAUAAAUCCAGAUUGAAAAAAAAUUCUUGAUUGAAUUACAUUUUCCUGUGUUUCCUAUGGUGAAUUUUGCUUUUGGAAGGGCUUGCUUGUCUCUGAGACUUUUUUCCCAGUAAUAUAUAUAUAGGACUAGGACUAGGACUAAUCUCAUUGCUUACUCUUGCUGAAGAAUUUAAUUAUUUUUAGCUGGCAUUUUCAAAAAACUUGCUGUUCCACCUGGAGCAUGUUUUAGAGAAAGCAGAGCAAAAGAACAAAAUGAAACAAACACUGUCCUCCAUCCCCAACACCUCAGAAAGAGGUAAAUGCUUUAGAUUCGGAUGAUUCCCUCUGUUUACGGAGCUUGACACUACCCAUUGGAAGAGGAGGAGUUUUAUAUAAUUACAGAAUUUUUCCAUUUUAAUUAUAUAACAUAUGCGUGUGAUACAAUUCCACAUUAUAUUAGUUACUGGCCAAAAUUUUGUCUCUCUGAUUUCCAAGAAGCAGAAUAGUGUAGCAAAUCAUGGGGUCAGUGAAAUCAUAGUCAUUACAUUUCUCCAAGCCUCAGUCUCUAUGUCUGUAAAAUGAAAAUAAUGAUGUGUGUCCUGGUAUUUCACUGUUUUGGUGAAUAUCAGAAGCAUGAUCAGAAAGUGCUUGUGAAAGAACAUUUUAAUUCUUUGUACAUAGUGAUGUACUGUACAAUGAUACAUUAUUAUUACAGAAGUUCAUAGCACUAGUUAGUUUUCUUUACUUCUAAAGGCGUUUCCAGUAUUGGGCAAGUACUUAAAGCAAAGAAAGUCUUUACUGUUCGAUCUUGAAAAAUUAAAGGUUUUCAUCUCUCUGUUGUUUGAGUAUUAAAAAUACUAAAAAUAUGGAUGGAUCUAGAGAUGAUCAAAAUACAUGAAAUAAGUCAGAGAAAGAUAAAUACCAUAUCACUUACAUAUGGAAUCUAAAAAAAAUUAUAAAGAUGAACUUAAAAAACAGAAACAGACUCAGACAAAAACAAACAUAAGAGUAUCAAAGGGGAAAGGUGGGGCAGAGGAAUAAAUUAGGAAUUUGGAAUUAACAUAUACACACUACUAUAUAUAAAAUAGAUAUUAAGAAGGACUUACACUCAAUAUCCUUUAAUAACCUAUAUGGGAAAAGAAUCUGAUAUAACUGAGUAUAUCUGAAUCAUUUAGUAUAACUGAAUCACUUUGCUGUAUACCUGAAGCUAACACAACAUUGUAAAUCAGCUAUACUCCAAAGUAAAAUAAAAAUUAAAACAAAUACCAAUAGGGUUACUGUGACAAUAAAAGUGGUUAUUAAAUGUGAAAAUAUAUAUAGUAAAUUUCUAAGUGCCAUGUAAAUGUUACUUAUGACAACUAUUAUUAGUAUAUUAAUAAAAGGUAUACAUUAUCAAGUAAAAUGUUUUUUUUAAUAAAGUAUACUUGAUUUUAAAUGAUCAGUUUUUAAAAUGGAAAAUAUCACAGACAUUUCUUGCUGAUUGGUUUGAUUAGCUUUAUAAGCUAUGUCGGCUUCCCUCAAUGGGGUAGAUUUUCCUGUUUUGUAAGCUGGUGCCCUAAUGUUCCUUCCAUUUAGAUAUAGCACUAAGCCAGUAGUCAGAUAAGCAUUCCCUCACAGUCUGCAUUUAGAACUGUUAAUGACAAGGUAUUAGAGGACAUAAUUGCCUCACAGGAAAAAGUGAGUUAGAAAACUUUGACAGAUGUUCCUGGACUUUUUAUUCCUGUUUUGGCUCUAUUUAUAUUAAGGGAAUAAUCAUGUAUGUUAAGGUGAUGUUUAUUCCUAGAUCUUUUCAUCCCAGGAAUAAAAUGAAUGGUUAAAAUGCCUUUCUGAAUGAUGUAGAAAUUUCAGUCAGCAGUUUUUAAUCCCAAAUUUUUAACUGGUUGUACUUGGGAAGGUCAUUUUGCUUUUUGGUAUAUUGGCCAUGAGAGUGUUAUACAUUUUGCCUGCUUGAGUGCACUGUUAAGAGUUUGAUUUUUUUUCUAAUAAGCUCUUGGUAAAUCUGGAGCAGUUCUCCCACUAUAGAAUAUAAUUUUUUUUUAGAUGAAACCAUACUGGAAGCACAAUAAGUAAAACAAAUAAAAAUGAAAUGAAUCUCUCCCCUUUCUCCACAUCCUUGCCAACACUUGUUAUUUGUAGUCUCUUUGGUGAUAGCCAUUCUGACAGGUGUGAGGUGAUUAUCACAUUGUGGUUUCAAUUUGCAUUUCUCUGAUGAUUAAUGAUGUUGAAUAUCUUUUCAUGUGCCUGUUAGUUAUCUGUAUAUUUUCUUUGAAAAAUUGUCUAUUCAGCUCCUUUGCCCAUUUUUUGAUAAUAAAAAUAUAUUUGGAUAUAAAUAAUAUAUUUGUCCUUUUUGGUCACAUCAUUUGCAAAUAUUUUCUAUUGUCUUUUCAUUUUGUAAAUGGUUUCCUUUGCUGUGCAAAAUAUUUUAAGUUUUAUUAGGUCCCAUUUGUUUAUUUUUUCUUUUAUUCCCUUUAUUUUAGGAGAUGGAUCCAAAAAAAUAUUGCUGU
rnacentral:lncRNA from 1 species